GUGAUCGCCGUCUCCUGUGCCGUGCCGGAAAGCUUAGAAAAAAAUUUCUGCCAAACCGAGGAAGCCGGUGCUUGGAGGCGGGAGUUCACCAGAAUACGGUUUCUUAUUUCCAUAGAUAAAGCUACCCUUGUGAUGUGACGUUAUAUUGUGAUUCCUGCUCAUAGAAUUUAGAAUAGAACCUCUGAUUUGUUAGAAAUAGGGAAACCCAAGAUGGAGUCACAGUGGCCAGUGUGGCACCCAUCUUGAUUGUUUCUAAAGAUCUGAUGUAAGAUUUGGAAUAUGUAAAUUAAGAUAACUGGAGUGUGAAGUCAAAUAAGUAAAUUGAUUUUUUUAUUUUUUAUUUUUUGGUGGUGGGAGUUGGCUGUGUCACAGGGCUGGUGGGAUCUUAGUUACCCAACCAGGGAUCAAAUUCGGGCCCUCGUCAGUGAAAGCCUGGAGUUCUAACGGCUGGACCACCAGGGUCCAGUAAUUGUUUUUAAAGGAUGCACUCUCAGGGCAGCUGCAGUGACUGUUGGCUUGAUGGCAGACAGCAUUUUUUGUUUACUGAAAUGGCAGGCAACAUUUUUUUGUCCACAGGUAAGGCUCCUUGCUGCUGGGGUUGUAACUGUUGCACCCUAGGGAUUGUACCUCACAAAAGACAGGGUCUGAGUGCGGUUGCUGAAGAAGGGUCUCGACGGACUGCAUGCGCUACGCUCGCUGGAGACUGUCCGUGUCAGAAGCUGCCGGAGUAGAAGCCCAUCUCUUCUCUUCUCUUCUCCUCUCCAUCCUGCACCCUGAUGGGCUCUGCAUGUGCGUGGCCACCCAGCCCCCAAGUGCCAGGGUAGUCACCCGCUCUCCUGUGAGCAGUCACCCCCAGUAGCCCUAAAGGGAGGACACGCGCUGGGAAGAGACGGGCUCAGGUGGUCCCCAUCUGAGCUUGGAGUGAUGUUCUGGAGUCCCCGUUGCUCCAAUUUAGCCCUGGUGCACAGUGAUACUGACUGCCGGUCCUUGGAAACCACCUGUCAAUCACCAGGGCCAUGACUUGCUAAGGGAAUAUGAAAGACUGUAAGAAGUUUUGGCAUUUCUUGUUCGGGUGGCUUUUCCUUAAGGAAAAGUCUCAUGAAAAGAAGAAUCCUCAACAUUUCUGCUGUAGAACCACAGCAACUCUAUUCAUUAGCUGUCUUGAGUGCUAUUAGGUUUUUUUUUUUCUUUUGUUCACUAGUUUCACAAAGAUUCUACCUUACCAUCAAAAAGAAUGUUUUAAAAACCAAAUUUUAUCCCACUCCCUCGCAGUGAGUUAUGGGCUCAUGGGGAAAGGAUCCCCCACUUUUGACUGCUCUAAGAAAGAGCAAGAAAUACUCUGGGAUUACGCAUUUGAAAAAAUACUCCUGGAACUUCCCUGGUGGUCCAGUGGGUAAGACUCUGCACUCCCAAUGCAGGGGGCCCGGGUUCGAUCCCUGGUC